rnacentral:pre_miRNA from 1 species
UUUAAGUAUAGCUAUGGGUUUUUAUGUCAAAUAUUUGACCGUCCAUUUACAACUUUUUUUUAUUAGAUGAUAAAAUGUGAAUAUUAUUUUAUGUGUGACUUGUUUUUUAAUUCUUUCAUAAAUUUUUUAAAUAAAACGAACGGAUAAAUAUUAGACAUAGAAAUCCACAACUGUAUUUAAU